ACAUUUCUUUUAGAUUAUUUAAAAAGUAAAGUCUGCCCACUGUUUAAAUGAAGGGCCGCGGUAUUUUGACCGUGCAAAGGUAGCAUAAUCAUUAGUCUUUUAAUUGGAGAAUGGAAUGAAUGGCUUAAUGAUUUUUUUCUAUUAUCUUUAUUAAAAAAUAAUUUUGAUUUUAAAUGAAAAUAUUUAAUUAAUUUAAUUAGACGAUAAGACCCUAUAGAAUUUUAUUUUUAAUAUACUAAAUAAUAUAUAAAAAGUUUAAAUGGGGCAUUUUUUGAUUAAUUAAAAUUUCUAAUUAAUUAUUUAAAAAUAUCUUUAUUUAAAUAUUUUUAAAAAAUUACCUUAGGGAUAACAGCGUAAUAAUUUUUAAGAGUUCAUAUCGACAAAAUAGUUUGCGACCUCGAUGUUGAAUUAAAAUACUUUUAUGGAGCAGCUUUUAUAAUAAGUAGUCUGUUCGACUAUUAAAAUUUUACAUGAUUUGAGU
rnacentral:rRNA from 1 species